CACAGAUGUGUCGACAAGGAUCACUACGGCAGAAACGUUCUCGGGAGUUGUUAUUAUUACUGUCAGAGAAACAACGAAUGGUUCUUCGGUCAUUAUAUGAGCACCUACAACAGCGCAUGUGAGAUUCUUGGCCCACGAAGAGUAUCUGGAUAUUGCUGCGAAGGGGAAUGCAUACCUCAGGCGAAAUGCGGACAAGAUGUUGAAAAUGUGGCACCACACCUGGAUUCCUAAG
rnacentral:lncRNA from 1 species